rnacentral:lncRNA from 1 species
CACCGCGUCCCUUCUCGCGAGACUAGGAGCCCGCCAAAACGCCUCGUGGCGGCUGGCUGCGCCGCUAUUGCCGCGUGGAGCGGCCAGUGCGGGGUGAGGCGUCCUGCUAACGCCGCGAGGAAAGAAGGGUGUGGGAUCCCCGUGUAUCUCUGGAAGGACAGAAAAUUAAACAAAAGAACAGAAUACACUCUGGAUUUUCUUCCUAUGUACAGUCUACACUGAUUGAAGUGCUGAAUCCACUCAUAGGACCAGCUUACUGUCUUCCUCUCAGUUCUUCAGAGAAUGAAUGAAAAUACAGCGUUGGAUUUGUCUGCUUGGAUUGGAGUACUUUUGAUAAAAUAUC